UAAAAUCUAUCCUGGUAGGGGAGGGUGUUGAGUAUGAACCUUGUUAAGAAAUUAAACCGCAUGUAUUUAUUCAAGAAGCUCCCGAGAAGGUCAACAAGUGACGGUCAGCUCUCAGCUGUCACUUCCUUUGUUAACAUCGAAGAACUCUGCUUUUUAUCCUCCUUCCCAUCUUCUGGUCAUUUUUCUGCUCAUUAGCUACUUGGGCUUAGGGUGGGCAAGAAAUAAGAUGGAAUUUUAAGCCUGUCAAGUUGAAGUCUAGUUAAUAGCCAAGUGGAGGUAAAAUGGGUGGAGAAAGGGACAUGAAUUCUAUGCUGGGGAGAAACAGUAGCUGUGGCAGAAAAAUUAGCCUAGACUUACUUUUCUUUCCCCGAUGUUAGUGAUUGCCCGUGACACAACCCCCCAUAUCUGCUAUGGUGGCAUCUGAUUUUUCAAGAUACAGAGUCAAAGAUACCAGAGUUACAAGAUUUUCUUCUAUCAACCAAACCUCUCGGUUUAUAGAUAAGAAAAUGAAGACUUGGGCCGGGCGCAGUGGCUCAAGCCUGUAAUCCCAGCACUUUGGGAGGCUGAGGUUGGUGGAUUACGAGGACAAGAGAUUGAGUUCAUCCUGGCCAACAUGGUGAAACCCUGCCUCUACU